rnacentral:rRNA from 1 species
CCUACGGGUGGCUGCAGUGGGGAAUAUUGGACAAUGGGCGCAAGCCUGAUCCAGCAAUGCCGCGUGUGUGAAGAAGGCCUUCGGGUUGUAAAGCACUUUUAUCGGGAGCGAAAAGCGGCCGGCUAAUAACCGGUCGUGCUGACGGUACCCGAGGAAUAAGCACCGGCUAACUUCGUGCCAGCAGCCGCGGUAAUACGAAGGGUGCAAGCGUUAAUCGGAAUUACUGGGCGUAAAGCGUGCGUAGACGGCCUUUUAAGUCUGCUGUGAAAGCCCUG